rnacentral:rRNA from 1 species
AAGGGGAUAACACUUGGAAACAGGUGCUAAUACCGUAUAACAAUCGAAACCGCAUGGUUUUGAUUUGAAAGGCGCUUUCGGGUGUCGCUGAUGGAUGGACCCGCGGUGCAUUAGCUAGUUGGUGAGGUAACGGCUCACCAAGGCCACGAUGCAUAGCCGACCUGAGAGGGUGAUCGGCCACAUUGGGACUGAGACACGGCCCAAACUCCUACGGGAGGCAGCAGUAGGGAAUCUUCGGCAAUGGACGAAAGUCUGACCGAGCAACGCCGCGUGAGUGAAGAAGGUUUUCGGAUCGUAAAACUCUGUUGUUAGAGAAGAACAAGGAUGAGAGUAACUGUUCAUCCCUUGACGGUAUCUAACCAGAAAGCCACGGCUAACUACGUGCCAGCAGCCGCGGUAAUACGUAGGUGGCAAGCGUUGUCCGGAUUUAUUGGGCGUAAAGCGAGCGCAGGC